rnacentral:lncRNA from 1 species
UUGGAAAUUUGGUUUAUUGAACGGUGCGUUGGUGCAAAUUCCGCGUAAUUGAUCAGUGCUGAAUUAUCUGAAUUGCUCCUGCUGUUGGCAAUUUUUCUAGUUAGUUGUGGACAAGCUGCUCUUACCCCGCUAUAUUUGGAAGAAAACAUCAGGAGUGUACUGGGUUUCUCUUGUAAUUGAUAGGUUUGACCUGUUGGUUCCGAUGCCUCCUGUUUCUUUCCGUGUGGCGAAGUACUUGUUCUGGGCAUGUUUAGCGAGCUGGUCACAUGGUUUCCUUCUGCAUUCAUCAUCUUUCUUCCUUAUAAAAGGGGCUAAAAUAGUAUAUAUAAUGCAAUGGAGAAGGAUUGGAGGAAAUUUUUAGCUUUUGAGCCCAUGUUUUCGAAGUAAUUUGCUUGUACUGCAUUUGAGAAUGGAUUUUGUUAUUUUAGAUCAUUAGAAAAAGCUCCUGGACAAUAGUGUUGACUGUUCAGUCUAAGUUAAGAUAUUUUCUUUAGUACCUCCUUUUGUUUGUAGGCCGCGAUAGAACACUUUAACUAGUGGUAAUCAGAGAUACUAGUCAACAGAAUCUUUGUACUUGUAAUAUAUGCAAAAGAUGUGGUUAUUUGUAGAAGGUUUGGUGAUGGAUUUGAUAUGGAAG